CCCUUUAGGUUUGAGAGAGACAAACCUUUAGCUCCUCCUUUUACUACUUGCUUUUCUUCUAAAAUACCAAGCUUUUUAAAUGCAGGAACUCAGCUGAGAAGGUAACUACUAGGCAGGCAUGAUUUAAAGAGUACCUGAAACAUUGCCUUUCUCCAAAAAAAUGGCAUCCUUACUCUGUGGGCAAUCCUUUUUCAUAACUCAUCCAUGUUUUUUCAUCCUUCUGUCAGUCUUGUCCAAACUUCCCAUGCAUCUUUCGUAGAUGAUCCAACCAAUGUGCAGCCCUUCCUCUGAUUCUCUAUAGAUCUUGCGAGUUCCCAUAUAGCACUUGAGUUAUCCAUCUGUUUUCUCAUCCUUAAUACAAGAGGAGCUUUUUCUGGGCUAGUCCCAGUUUCAAUGCAUUUGGAGCUACAUAUUGUGCACAAGUCAUCACUGGUAGCAUAGUACAAACAAUUCGCUACUGCCAUGCAUCUUUCCUCUGCCUAUUUAAUUAUCCUUAACUCAGUCUUUUGAGAAUUUGGUGUUUCAUAAUCAUAUCUCUGGAGAAAUAUAGCAUUAAAGAAUUGGGUUUUCACAACAGUGCAGUUUGGAUCACUAAAAACAAAACAUUACACAAUUCACUAUAUGUAAUUCAACCUAAUCUUUUCCUAUGAAAUUCUGGAUCCAGCUCAUUAUCAAACAUAAUGGAGAUAGUUGAUAGUUGAACGGCCCUUCCAGCAUCAUGACUUAAUUUGAGAAAUAUUCAUUUUUCAUCCACUUUGUUUUUCCAUAUUGGAUACACUAAGAUCUUUCAUAUAUCUGGAUAUUUCACUGUCAGUCAGCCAGCCAACAAACAAUUGAGUGCUUACUAGGUGUCAGGCAGUGUAUUAAAUAGUAAGAGUAUUCCUGAGCUUGAUGUAAGUCACUUGUAAAUAGGAACACUUGCAGAACUUUGCCUUCAAUAAGAAACCCUUUCAUUUAGACUCUGUGCAGGAUUACUGUCAUUUUGAAUUGUGUUUGUUCUACAAUACUGAACCACUCAGCUGAUGCUACCUUUAAAUAAAACUAGAAGCUGUAACAAAGGCACAACAAAGUAAAAGAAUAGCC
rnacentral:lncRNA from 1 species